rnacentral:rRNA from 1 species
UACGUAGGGGGCAAGCGUUGUCCGGAUUUAUUGGGCGUAAAGAGCGUGUAGGCGGUUCGGUAGGUCCGUUGUGAAAACUCGAGGCUCAACCUCGAGACGCCGAUGGAAACCCUCGAACUAGAGUCCGGAAGAGGAGAAUGGAAUUCCUGGUGUAGCGGUGAAAUGCGUAGAUAUCGGGAGGAACACCUGUGGCGAAAGCGGCUCACUGGACCACAACUGACGCUGAGGCGCGAAAGCUAGGGGAGCAAACAGG